rnacentral:rRNA from 1 species
AGAGUUUGAUUAUGGCUCAGGACGAACGCUGGCGGCGUGCUUAACACAUGCAAGUCGAACGGGUGAGAGGAGCUUGCUCCUCGAGCCAGUGGCGAACGGGUGCGUAACACGUGAGGAACGUACCCACCGGCGGGGGAUAGCCGGCCCAACGGCCGGGUAAUACCGCGUACGCUCAUCGGGGCGCAUGCCCUGAUGAGGAAAGCAGCAAUGCACCGGUGGAGCGCCUCGCGGCCUAUCAGCUAGUAGGUGGGGUAAUGGCCCACCUAGGCGACGACGGGUAGCUGGUCUGAGAGGAUGGCCAGCCACAUUGGGACUGAGACACGGCCCAGACUCCUACGGGAGGCAGCAGUGGGGAAUAUUGCGCAAUGGCCGAAAGGCUGACGCAGCGACGCCGCGUGCGGGAUGAAGGCCUUCGGGUUGUAAACCGCUGUCAGGAGGGACGAAGCUCUGACGGUACCUCCAGAGGAAGCACCGGCUAACUCCGUGCCAGCAGCCGCGGUAAUACGGAGGGUGCGAGCGUUGUCCGGAAUCACUGGGCGUAAAGGGCGCGUAGGCGGCGCGGUAAGUAGGGGGUGAAAUCCUGCGGCUCAACCGCAGAAUGGCCUCCUAAACUGCCGUGCUCGAGCACAGUAGAGGCAGGUGGAAUUCCCGGUGUAGCGGUGGAAUGCGUAGAGAUCGGGAAGAACACCAGUGGCGAAGGCGGCCUGCUGGGCUGUUGCUGACGCUGAGGCGCGACAGCGUGGGGAGCAAACAGGAUUAGAUACCCUGGUAGUCCACGCCGUAAACGAUGGGUACUAGGCGUCGGGGGGAGCGACCCUCCCGGUGCCGUCGCUAACGCAGUAAGUACCCCGCCUGGGGAGUACGGCCGCAAGGCUGAAACUCAAAGGAAUUGACGG